rnacentral:lncRNA from 1 species
GUCCUGAGCGUCAGCCUGUUGGGGAUGUCUAGCUCACAGAGCUGCUGGAUUUCGGGAUUUGGUUGGACACUGUCCACUCCAGAUUGCCUCUCUUUGAGAGUUGGUGGUUCCAACGGUUAAAGUUUCCACCUCCUUUUGUGGGCUUAAGCACCCGUGCUUCUCAAUCAUUUCCCUAAGCUCUGUCACUUUUGAUAGAGACUUUUUACCACAGCUGGAGUUUCAAUCUCGUGGUGCCCUGAAAGGCUGAACAGAAUAGUUCCUACCAUGUGUGGCCAAGGAUACCAGAGUCUGAGCAGGAAGAGAGAGGAUCCAGCAUCUGUGGUGACCUACUACUUUCUGGGAACAGUCCUGGGCUCUCUAUCUGGCUUUCACCCAAAGCAACACGGAGGUGUGUACCAUGCCUACAUGCAGGCCACAGAACAUUGACUUCAUUUAUGUUCACCAAAGAAGAUGUGAGACAAUUUCAAAUCUGAGAAGAAAUAGGCUCUAGCAUUGGUGGUGCUGGGGGAAUCGGGACAGACGAUGUCCAAGCUCUGCUUCAGAAACCUUAGGAAAGGAGUCUGUAGGUGGAAAAACAUUCCAUUGAGAUAUUCAUGAAACCCAAACUAAAUUAUAAGUUCCGGCGUUGGGGGGUUUAUUAUUGUUUCUUUUUAUUUAACAGGUAGUCAUCAAUAAAGUAAUACCUCUAAACCUUUGAAAG